AGGGGCGGAGAACUAAAGAAGUUAGGGUAAAGAAGAAAUGGCUCAAAUAGCAAAAAGAAAACAUGCAAAAGACCCUGUGAAUUCAGAUUGCAUUCCUAUGGAAGGG